GUAACGCUGGCGGCAUGCUUCACACAUGUCAAGUUGAACGGGUUUAAGUCAUUAAACUUAAACAAGUAGCGGACGGGUGAGUAACGCGUAAGAACCUACCUUUAGGUAAGGAAUAACUAUUGGAAACGAUAGAUAAUACCUUAUAAGCUUAUAGUAAAAGAUAAAAUCGCCUAAGGAUGGGCUUGCGUCUGAUUAGCUUGUUGGUGAUUUAAAAGAUUCACCAAGGCAACGAUCAGUAGUUGGUCUAAGAGGAUGAUCAACCACACUGGGACUGAGACACGGACCAGACCUCUACGGAGGGCAGCAGUGAGGAAUUUUCCGCAAUGGGCGAAAGCCUGACGGAGCGAUGCCGCGUGGAGGAUGAAAGCUUGUGAGUCGUAAACUCCUUUACUAAGUGAAGAAAUAAGACGGUAUCUAAGGAAUAAGCAUCGGAUAACUCCGUGCCAACAGACGCGGUAAUAACGGAGGAUGCAAGCGUAAUAAGGAAUAAUAGGGCGUAAAGCGUCUGUAGGUGGUUAAGUAAGGUCUACUGUUAAAUAUAAAAGAUUAACCAUAAAAAAGAGGUAUGAAAAAUAAAAACUUGAGU
rnacentral:rRNA from 1 species